AUUGAACGCUGGCGGCAUGCUUUACACAUGCAAGUCGAACGGCAGCGCGGGCUUCGGCCUGGCGGCGAGUGGCGAACGGGUGAGUAAUGCAUCGGAACGUGCCCAGUAGUGGGGGAUAGCCCGGCGAAAGCCGGAUUAAUACCGCAUACGACCUGAGGGUGAAAGCGGGGGACCGAAAGGCCUCGCGCUAUUGGAGCGGCCGAUGUCGGAUUAGCUAGUUGGUGGGGUAAAGGCUUACCAAGGCGACGAUCCGUAGCUGGUCUGAGAGGACGACCAGCCACCCUGGGACUGAGACACGGCCCAGACUCCUACGGGAGGCAGCAGUGGGGAAUUUUGGACAAUGGGGGCAACCCUGAUCCAGCCCUGCCGCGUGCGGGAAGAAGGCCUUCGGGUUGUAAACCGCUUUUGUUCGGGAAGAAAUCCUCUGGGCUAAUACCCCGGGGGGAUGACGGUACCGGAAGAAUAAGCACCGGCUAACUACGUG
rnacentral:rRNA from 1 species